rnacentral:rRNA from 1 species
UACGUAGGGUGCGAGCGUUGUCCGGAAUUAUUGGGCGUAAAGCGCACGUAGGCGGCUUUGUAAGUUGGAUGUGAAAGCCCUCGGCUCAACCAAGGAAGUGCAUCCAAAACUACAAAGCUUGAGUACUUAAGAGGAUCGCGGAAUUCCCGGUGUAGAGGUGAAAUUCGUAGAUAUCGGGAGGAACACCAGUGGCGAAAGCACUCUGCUGGGCCGACACUGACACUGAGAGACGAAAGCUAGGGGAGCGAAUGGG